rnacentral:tRNA from 1 species
GCCAUGGUGGUUCAGCAGUAGAACUCUAGCCUUCCACGCGGGAGACCUGGGUUCGAUUCUGAGCCAACGUA